CAUGUUCUGAUUUCACAAAAGGUUGAUUCAAAAUUUCAAUUAGCACAAUAAAAAAUUGCCGUAUUUAAAUCUGAUAAUAUGACGAAGCCAUUUCAAAUUGUUUGUGGAAUUGGAGCAUUUUUUGUGCUUAUCACAAGGCUUCAACAAAAAUAUUUGACGGACUUGCAAACAAAUUUAGUAAUGAACUUCCAGAGUACACCAAGGGUUGAAAAUGAUGAUUGUGAAAACAUCAAGAAAGGACUAACAUGAAAUAGAUGAAUUAUGAAAAAUUUAUCAACAACUUUGGAAUUAAACUUUUUUUUUGUA